UCUCUGAAGUUAAGGUAGGAACUAUAAAAGAUGACGUAUCCAACUCUCGGGCACUUGAAAACUUGAAGAAUUGGACAACAUUUUCAUUUACACUAGGAAAGAAUGGAGAAAAAUUCAAUGUAGAAGUUAAACAAGUCAACUUUCGUAAUGAUUCAAGCGCUGCUGGUUAUGGUGCAGGUGAGUGAAUAUUAAAAAAAUCAUCGUUCCAUACUGUGUUGGUGUUAGCUAAGUAAUUGUUUACCUUUUGUUCAGAAAUUAGGCAC